UCUGCUGGCAAAACCAGCGGCUGUUUAACUUAGUUAGCUAGUUAACUUAGCUAGUAACACGGUGUGAUAAUUUGUUAGCCAAAGGUAGACAGACACCGGUAGCUAAUAGUUAGCUAGCAUAUAACAAGCGCAACAUGGACAAGGGAAGUGAGACAUGGAAGACGAUGAUACGCUCUAUAGUGGCCCCUGUUACUGUUAAUUCGCCACUGAACAAAAGGAAGUGAAAAAUCAAAGGAAAGUUUACAAAGCUUUGCAAAGUUCGGGAAAUGCUUUCUAACCAAUAAAGACUACGUUUGGAUCUGUCCUUCAGACCAAUCAAACCUCGGACUAGAUUCCACCAAUCAAGGUUUCUAGGGGUUCAGUUCGUUGUGGAACUGACGCCAUUUGGGAUCUAACAAAAAUCGCCAGUCGUACGAGACAGAUUUUACACAAGAGCCAACAUGGCGGACUCAGUGCGGUAGUUUCUUGAACGCCUCUGUUACUUUCAGCUGGCCACCAAUAAGCGACUCAGAGAGCGGGGAGGGAAAUGGCGCCUAUGUUCAUCUUCCAAAACAAUCGUCUAUUGGACAAGAACAGCAAUUGGAAAUGCGUUGCAACGGGAAACAAGAUGGCUGCCACGUACUUCUGCUCGAACCGGAAACUGUGCUACGUUGACAACAUGGCGCACUAACGUCAUGAACUUCAAAUCCUGAGCCUGGGAAAUAAGAUUUAUGUCAAAGAAUCAAAGUAAAAAAUAAAAAUAAAAAUCACAUAAGUCUCUUACAA